rnacentral:rRNA from 1 species
UACGUAGGGUGCAAGCGUUGUUCGGAAUCAUUGGGCGUAAAGCGCGUGUAGGCGGUUUUUUAAGUCGAGUGUGAAAUCCCUGGGCUCAACCGAGGAAGUGCACUCGAAACUAACUGGCUAGAAGACGGUAGAGGAAGGUGGAAUUCCAAGUGUAGAGGUGAAAUUCGUAGAUAUUUGGAGGAAUACCGGUGGCGAAGGCGGCCUUCUGGACCGAUCUUGACGCUGAGACGCGAAAGCGUGGGGAGCAAACAGG